rfam:Pristionchus pacificus strain PS312 contig611, whole genome shotgun sequence.
UCUUCAUUCCUUAUACUAUCUCACCGGUCAGAGAGGCGAGAGAGUGUGUGAAAUGAAGAGA